AUCAUUCAUGUCUUGCAAAAUCUAGAUUCUAGUAUGUUAUUUCUGAUUCUAUUUAUUUUACAAUGUAUAGUAACUUCCUCUCUAUUUUACAGCAUGCAUAAGCCGUUUGGCGGUACAUAUACAAAACCUGAUGCAAGAGUAAAGUUGAUUCCGGCAGAAGACAUCACUUAUGUACGACAUGGAAAGCCUUUUGGUAGAACAGUUGGCUCAGCAAAGCUGCAGAAAAGACACUCCAGACGAAGUGUCACUCCUCCUCCGAGUUCGCGUAAAGUUUCUCUUGCGAGGUCAACACCACUUACUCAGAAGUCUACGCCACUGUUUACCUCCAAGGCCAUGCCACCGCUUAAUCACAAGGCUUCAGCGCCUUUUACUCAUAAGGCCACAGCAUCUCUUAAUCACACGGCCAUGGCACCUCUUACUCACAAGGCCGCGGCUCCUCCUACUCACAAGCCCACGACGCCGCCCCUUUCUGGUUCAUCGUGUCUUUCUCCUAAGAGAGUUGAGACAGCUCACAAGGCCACAGGACUUCUUAGUCCCAAGCAUGCUACACCACCCUUGCCUGUUGCAUCGUGUCUUUCUCCCAAGAGAGUUGAGACAGCUCACAAGGCCAUGGGGCCUCUUAGUCCCAAGCCCACUACACCACCCUUGCCUGUUGCAUCGUGUCUUUCUCCUAAGAGAGUUGAGACAGCUCACAAGGCCACGGGACCUCUUAGUCCCAAGCCCACUACACCACCCUUGCCUGUUGCAUCGUGUCUUUCUCCUAAGAGAGUUGAGACAGCUCACAAGGCCAUGGGACCUCUUAGCCCCAAGCCCACCACACCUCCCCUGCCGGUUGCAUCGUGUCUUUCUCCUAAGAGAGUUGAGACAGCUGAAAACAGGCAACCAUUUUCUCUCAAUCGGCCAUCACCACUCUACAAGGCUGUCCAGAGAGGUGCAUUUCCUCCAUCUGUUUCACGGAAAGAGUCAGAGAUGAAUCCCAUCAAUCCUAGUUCUGUGCAUGUUCCUCCUGCAUAUUCAAGGAAGGUUCCUCUUGAUAGAAAGGCAGAACCUUCUUCUAAGAGUGUCAGCACACUUGACAACAAAAAGUUAUGCUCUACAAGCAAUCAGGCUGCACUUAGAUGUCAACCUACAAAAAGAGAUGCAGAUCCUAUUGUGGAAAAAGAAAAUACUGUGAAGCUUCCAUUAAUGAGCCCAACAUCUGUGCUUAGUUCAAGUUCCACCGAGGUAUGUCCAGAUACUGGAUCAAGGUCUGCAUCCAGACUAAAUUUGUUUGAUGAAAAAUGCAAGCUGGACUCACCGCAGCCUGAAACAAACAUACCUCAAGCAAAAAGCCCAGAGUCUACAACUCCAGCCCCAUAUGCUCAACUUUCCAAUGAUUUGAGAGCUGUUUCCUCCACUAAGAUCAUUGUCAGGAAUGAGAGACAAACGAACCAGGAACCAUCAAUUACUUGUAACAUCUCUUCAGGUAUAGUUAUCAUCCUGAAAGUAAUACAUUGCAGAAUCCUGAUGCAUGAUUUAGC
rnacentral:lncRNA from 1 species